UAUUGACAGAGAACUUUGAUCACCAUGUUAACAGCUAUGAUGUCAUGAAUAGCUCUAUCUGAAUUGAAAUUUACAUGGAUUUGCUGAACAUUCAGAUGUCUAUCUAAAUAGUGUGUGAAGCAAUCCUAAGAGAAUGAUAACUUGGGAAACUGCUCCGCUUGGCUGUCCUACAAUUGCAUUCAGGAUAAGAAUAAGAUUACAGUGAGGGCAGGCAGAUCUCUGAAGCACCAGGUGUGUAUCCUUUCUCCUCAAACUACUUGCCAGAUCAAACACUGCACAGAAUUUCCCCCACCGAUUGAUCUACAUUGGAUUAUUCCUGUCUGAUUUAGGGAUGCAGGAAGAGCUGCUGAUUUGCUCUAUUUGUCUAGUUUUAGGAGGGUUUUAAAAACAAUUAAUUAACUAAAAACAUUUAAGGACAAAUGAGAGAGAGAGAGAGAGAGAGAGAGAGAGACAUUGCACAUACUUUUGUAAACCAAGAAAAUCUUUAGUAAAGAUACAUUAAAAAGAAACAUUUAAAGACCACUUGAUUGUAAUAGAAUCUCUGUAAACAAAACAUGAAUAUUACCAAAAACUGACAGUUAAAAACAAGUAUUUUAAAAUUUUGGAAUAUAAUUUAAAUCAGCAGUAAACUAAAAAGAUAUUAAAUAAAACACAUUCCAUUUCUACAUGUCUAGAUAGGCUAGCCUAAGCAAAAACACCUUUAGCAGGUGCCGAAUAUAGUACUUUUUUGUUAUUUUUAUUUUCCAGUGCUUGCCAGUUUUUGUAGGUCAAUGCCAAUAAAGAUUUGAAUAAAAAUAACUAUUUUGAGAAUCAUUUCUGAAAAUGGCCUCUAUUCAUAGUUGUUUUUUUUAAAAAAACAACAACCAACAAUAACAAAUAGCUUGUGUCUACUUCAGUUUCAUACUUUCCAAAUUUCUCAGUUAAAAGAGGGUUUCCUAUUCAGUAAGACAAUAGUUACUUUAGUAUGAGUGAAUAUAUAUGUAUAAGUAAGCACACACACACACACACACACACACACAAACACACACACUUUUAUGGGGCCUGGAUACAUUCAUGUCCUGUUAACAUAGCAUGGAAACAUUCCUUUCAUUCAUGUUGCCUUUUGUUUCAUUCAUGUUGCCUUAUCUAGCUAUGAACUCAAGAGAUGGCCCUAGACAAGUUCUGUCUCUCAACCCUAGCACCUUGGAAUGUAUACAAGUUAAUGAUAAGGUUGGGCUUGAUUGUGUCCAUAAAGAAGAUAAUUAUUUAGAGAGACAGAGUCAUCUCAGGCUGAUUUGGAGUUGAUGGUCCAACUUCCUUGGCCUGAGCACAAAUUAUCUAUUCAGUUAACUGUCAGAGAAUUCCUCAUCUGAAAAUUAAGAUUACAGGAUUUCUUUGUAUUACAGCCUUAUUCCUGGCACGAUGAACCAUGAUUGAUCCUGAGAUUGAUCACUGCCAUUGUGUGAGUAUGUUUUAACAUGCAGCCUGAAAAGAAGAGGAGUUCUGAAGCAUGUGGACUACCCCUACUCAUUGGCAGAGUUUGCUUGGAAAUGUUUUGCUUUGCUGAUGGCAGUAAGCCCUUGUGACUUCCAGCAACCUGCCUAGCAUAUCAGUUUGUAUAGAAUGCUAAACCAUGCUUACUAAACUAUGGUUUAUUAAACCAUGGUUUAGCUGCAUUAUGUGUCAACGCAGCCCAUAACUAUGGUUUAUUUACUAUGGUUAAAUGUUCUAGCUAGUUUAAAAAUCGUAGCUAAUGUUAACCAUAGCUUAGUGUUACAUGUGAACCUGGAUACCCUCCUUAGCUAUGGUUAAAGUGCCAUCGCCCAAAAGUUGCAAUGUUGUCAAUGAAGUGCUGCAAAAAAUUCAAACUGCUCUCACUGUGCUUUUAAUGAUUCUACAAUGCAUUGAAUCAAGAUUUAACUGAUUAUCUGCCUGAUGCCUCAGUUGUAACCAUGGUUAAUGUUAAUAAGGGGUUAGUGUUACGUACAACCAGGCCAAUGACAUGUUCUAAGAUCUGAUCAGUAGCUUCAGUAAGAAUUUAUAAACUAGUUUGUGAAGGUUUUAAUUUCUAAUGGUAAGAAGCCUAAAAGAAAGAUCUCUGGGUUUUUUUUAAAGGUGAGUUUGAAUAGUUUCUUAAAUUCAUUAUAGAUGUUAUCCCAGAAUUCCCCAAUGACCACAUAUGGUAAAAUAACCCCACAUCUGUUUUACAUCUCCAACAAAUCAGUGAUCCUCUUUUAUACAUUUUUGCUAGUUUCAAGGGGGUAUGAUGCCAUCUAUAUAGCAUCUUGGGAUGCGGGUGGCACUGUGGGUUAAACCACAGAGCCUAGGACUUGCCAAUCAGAAGGUCGCGGUUCGAAUCCCUGUGAUGGGGUGAGCUCCCGUUGCUCGGUCUCUGCUCUUGCCAACCUAGCAGUUCGAAAGCACGUCAAAGCGCAAGUAGAUAAAUAGGUACCGCUCUGGUGGGAAGGUAAACAGCGUUUCCGUGCGCUACUCUGGUUCGCCAGAAGUGGCUUAGUCAUGCUGCCCACAUGACCCGGAAGCUGUAUGCCAGCUCCCUCGGCCAAUAAAGGGAGAUGAGCACCGCAACCCCAGAGUCACAACUGGACCUAAUGGUCAGGGGUCCCUUUACCCUUUACUUUAUAUAGCAUCUUCAUGGUGUUUUCCCUAGAGGAACCACAUUCUAACAUGCAGCACAUUGUGAAGACUGGGCCUGAUUUCUGAGUUCACGUAAUGUGUAUAGAUAUCCAUUCCACUGUACAUUCUAUUACCAUUGCCACUGCCAUUUCUAGAGUGCUGAGAGACUAGAGUGCUCCAGUUUUCUCAGGGUCAACAUUUUGUGUUCUUCACAAUACUAACAAAGCCUUUUGAUUCUUGGCAGUUUUUGUUUUUUUAAUUAGAAUGCCUUUGCUUUAUUUUAAUUCAUGACAUUUGACAAUUUUGUGCAAAACAAGCCAGACAUUUUAACACACAAGGCAUUUGUGAUCAGUUCCUGACAGUACUGAGCAUUCAGUAUUUAAGCAAUCUUUAUUAUUAUCCCUUAACAACACAGUUGUGGCAGUUUGACUCCUCCCACCAAUGUGAACAAAGGCUUGCUAGACAGCUGAUAUCAAUCUAGACUCAAUGUCUGGAGAUCAGUGAUAAGGCAUCACAUGUUUGCAGCUGAGGGGUGGGGUGGGUGGAGUCAGAAAGAGCUUGAAAGGGGAUUUUUAACCCUUUCUGCUUUGUUCCCCCCCACCAAUCUGAAUGGCUUCCCAAGCUUCUAUUUUCUUCACAUGGCAGGGAUGGCCAGAAGUUAGAUGAGCUCUAGGUGAUUUUAAGUAGAUCAGAGAGGAUUUCUGACUUCCCCAUGUUUAUCAAUAACAGCAACAAAGUAAUCC